rnacentral:rRNA from 1 species
GAGUUUGAUCGUGGCUCAGAUUGAACGCUGGCGGCAUGCCUUACACAUGCAAGUCGUACGGCAGCAUGAUCUAGCUUGCUAGAUUGAUGGCGAGUGGCGAACGGGUGAGUAAUACAUCGGAACGUGCCCUGUAGUGGGGGAUAACUAGUCGAAAGAUUAGCUAAUACCGCAUACGACCUGAGGGUGAAAGUGGGGGACCGCAAGGCCUCAUGCUAUAGGAGCGGCCGAUGUCUGAUUAGCUAGUUGGUGGGGUAAAGGCCCACCAAGGCGACGAUCAGUAGCUGGUCUGAGAGGACGAUCAGCCACACUGGGACUGAGACACGGCCCAGACUCCUACGGGAGGCAGCAGUGGGGAAUUUUGGACAAUGGGCGAAAGCCUGAUCCAGCAAUGCCGCGUGUGUGAGAAGGCCUCGG